UCCUGUAUUCUUAUUUGCUACGUCUGGCAACCCUGAGUGAGGAAGGUGGGCACAGACCCAGACGGCCUGCGCUAGGGCCUGAGCGGGAAGGGAAGAAACACAGGAGGAUGACGACGAGCACUGACGGCGUCACGUAUUGCACCGUAGGCUAGAGCCGUACGUGACCCACGGUGUGUCUCGCGGGGUCUGCAGACAGCGACGGCUGACUAGGAAACCGGGAAAGCUGUGAACAGGGCCAGACGCUGGCGCUGAACUGACAGUUCUGUCUGUGGGCAACAGAGAGACAAGAAGCUCCCUCGGAAAGCACAGCACACAAACGCUAACUGUCCAGCCUCAGGCGGUGGGAGCGAUCAGGCUGGCUCAAAGGACGGCAGUUCUCAGGUUUCGGGCGUGUCUGAGCCCAUGCAGUGCCUCACGAAAGCCUGGCGGUCAGGCCUGCCCGCCUGAUAAUCCACAGCCGUUCUCUUCUCAUGUAUUUGAAAUGUCUCCUCCCGAUCAGAACUCAAUAACCUCAUCCGGCAGUACUCGGGGACCUAAAGGCCAACACAGUUCGCUCGGAGGAUUUAUUAACAUCUGAGGAUGUGGCUGUACAUUUCUCCUGGGAAGAGUGGGAAUAUCUGAAUCCCGCCCAGAAGGAACCCUACAGAGAUGUGAUCCUGGAGAAUCUCCAGAACUGGCUCUCACUGGGGUUUCCAACUUCCAAAAUUGCUCUGACCUCUAAGCUGGAUCGAGGAGAAGAACCCAGGGCCGUGCCUCCCGACAGAGCGAAAAAUGAAGAAUUCCUGAUACCUGUCGGCACAGACAAUAAAAUCAAGAUCAAGAAGGAGACAUGUACUUCAAAACAUGGUAUUUGUGAAGCAGCAGGUGUGCACGAGUCGUUGGGAGAAUCCACUGACAAUAGGAACUGGUUAGAAAGACAGCAGAGGUUGCUUUGCUCAUAAGGGAGGGAGAAGAAAAAUUCCCUUUCCCAAGCACAGGUUCUAGCAAAGUGCAGGACAUCCACGGGAAAAUCUCCACCACAGAAAGAGUCUAUAAAAACAGGAAAUGUGAAAAAUUUUUCAGCAUUCUGAGAAAACAAGUACUCUGUGAGAAUUUUAAAUGUGGAACUUCAUCUUCCAGAAAACAUCCAAAAAUGCACGGCAUAAAGAAAUCGUGUGUAUGCAAUGAGUGUGGAAAUCAUGCCGACAGAAAUCACACCUUAUAAGUCAUAGAAUUCACACUGGAGGGAAGCCUUUUGUGUGUAAUGAAUGAGGAACAGCUUUUAAUCAGAACUCAACUCUUAGUCGACAUCAAAUAAUACAUUCAGGAGAGAAGCUACUUAAAUGUGGUUGCUGCGGAAAAUCAUUUAAGCAGUCCUCUCACCUAAUUAAAGAUCAGAGAAUUCAUACCACGCAGAAGCCAUAUAUAAAGGUUAAGUGUGGGAAUGCAUUCAAUUAUAAGUCACACGGAGGAGAGAAACCCUAUGCAUGCAAUGAGUGUGACAAAACUUUUCAACUUAGCACAGAUUGUACCAAACAUCAGAGAAUCCACACGAGAGAGGAACCUUUUUUUGUGUGUGUGUGUGAGGAAGAUCAGCCCUGAGCUAACAUCCAUGCCAAUCCUCCUCUUUUUGCUGAGGAAAACCGGCCCUGGGCUAACAUCCGUGCCCAUCUUCCUCCACUUUAUAUAGGACGCCGCCACAGCAUGGCCUGACAAGCGGUGCGUCGGUGCGCUCCCAGGAUCUGAACUUUCGAACCCUGGGCUGCCGCAGUGAAGCGCGCGCACUUUAACCACUAUGCCACCAGGCCAGUCCGAGAGAAACCUUUUAAGUGCAGUAAGUGUGGGAAUCGGGGCAGCUGCCUGUUAAAACUCUGGUCUUACUUCACACCAGCAAAUCCACAUGUGAUCACAGCAAGAAGCUAAAACACAGUGCAGCAGAUGUGAGGAAAUCCACAAUGCCAAGAAAGAAAUGCAGUAACAUGGGACAUUUUUCUUUUGGGGUUCAUAUAUUACAUUGUCCAUACCAUAGUGGUAUGAACACAUGGUCAGUGUGAGAACCUUUCUCAG